CAUACGAUUUCUGGGGAGUAAUAUCUUUGAGUGAUCUUAAGAGUGAUUAAUAUUUCUGUGCUUCUUAUCCACUCAGGUCCACUCCUGGUGUGGCCCUUGCAUACUCCGGUUCAAGUCCUCUGUGCUUUCACGUGCUGUGUAAUCUGUUUCCUUAUUUUCUGCACUGGCUGCUCUCAGUAAUGUCGGAUGCAGAAGUCCUGGCUUGCCCACCACGCUGGAUGAGGUGCACUGGCCAUCGCUACUAGUGCCUGACAUCCAGAGAACUAAUACUGCUCCGGGCUCCCAAGGUGGCUCUGCCACCCCCAGGCAGGCCAAAUGUUUGAAAACUAUCACAAAACACGGCGUAGACUCAAGUUUGGAAGAUGCCCUUCCCCACUGCAGAGCAUUGUUUAUUUAUUUUUUUAGGUGCUAGUGAGAUUUAGCCAGUUCUCGUUACUGCAGUGGAGAACAGUCUCAUUUGUAACAUGUUGAUUUUGAUCCUCUAGUUACUGCCAUUUUAUCAUUUAUCUACUUACUGUUUUAUCAUGUUCACCAACGAGUUAGCAUGGUCAGGAGGGGAAAUCAGAAAUCCAGUUAAUUUGAUUGGCAAAUUUUGUGGAAUGUUCGGUGAAGUUCUGAAAAGGUAGUGCUAGCUACAAAGAGAUUUUAGUAUUAUUCAUGGGCUCUGCUUAUCUAUGCCCUUCCAGUCAUGCACCACCGCAGAUAAUUGGAAAAGUGCCGUGUAUGCGUCACCACGUCAGGACACUGCAUGAUGAUACAGUGUGAAAUGGCAGAUGUGGGUGAUGACAGUAGCUUGGUCUAAAGCAGCAUGAUAAAGUCAUCGAAAAACACAUUUAGAAACAAAAAGACAAAGUACUGAACAAAACAGAAUGCAAGAUUAGUUUGAAACGGUAACAGAAGAAAAUCCAUGUGUUUAAUAUUCAGUGUAUGGAUCCGUAAAAAGUCAAUUAAAGGUUUAAAAUUUCAGUGCUGAUCCAUAUGUUACUGCAUGUUUCCUUAAGCCUUGGUGCAGAAAUGAAUGUUUCCGAGAAUAAUCCUUUCCUCAUGAGGUCCCUUAGGCCUGCCCUGCUCACGAGUUGGAGUCUGUCCGUCUAGUGAGAAGAACUGUUUGAAAAAUUAUAAUAGUCCUUCAGGUCUGAGAAAUGCAAUAGUAAAAUGUAUUGUAGCCAGCACAGUUGAUAUUAUUUUCAGCUUUAAACAAUUAUGGAUUUUCUUUUUAUCAUCAUUCGUUUGUAACCUCCUGAGAUAGUAACCUGUAGUUUUAUUCAUUAGUUUUUUAUCCCUCUCAAAGGGGGAAAAAAGAAGUUAACUGCCAGGGAGCUGAUAUGAUAAAGAUGGCAGGUUGGUAAGAGAGUUCUGAAUUCAGAAAGUCUCUGCAGGAAGCAGUACUUCAUUAAGAAGGUGCACACAAAAUUAUUUCAACUCUAAUUUAAGAUUCUGUCUAAAAAAGUAAAGGAAUUUGAUUUUAUUAUCGCUUCCCUUCCCUUGGGGCUAGAGGUCUGAUGACUAACACAGUGAAAUCCAUGUGAUGAAAGUAGAGCUCAGAGGCUCUAUACUCUCCUCGCC
rnacentral:lncRNA from 1 species